GGAAAAGGGAACCAGGUGGCAUACAGGCAAUGGUGAAUUUAUCCUUUGCAAGGAAGAUAGAUGGAUCCCUAACAUUAUCUCUAUGCCCAUUAGCUAUCAACCAGUUUGGCACUAUGACAGAAGGGAAAUUUAUUAGGUAAAAUCUGGUUAUUUUAUUGCUCGAAAGUUGCAGCAAGAAGUCUCUAAUUCAUCCAUACAUCUCCCAAGUCCUAGCUCUGAUCAAGGUAACAUAUCUUUUUGGAAAGAGAUUUGGCGAAUUCCCUUGCCACCCAAACUCUCAAUCUUCUUUGGAGUUUAUUAAAGGAAAGCCUUCCAGCAAAGGGGCUCAUUCAUAGGAGAAUUAUCCAACUGCUGCCAGAUUGUCCUUUUUGUGGAAGCGUGAAAUCUGCAAAGCACCUCUUCUUUGAAUGCCCAAAGGUGAUAGACAUUUGGAUUCAUUCCCCUUUUAGGUUACGCUCAUCUAUG
rnacentral:misc_RNA from 1 species